rnacentral:rRNA from 1 species
CCCCUAGAUGUUCUGGGCCGCACGCGCGCUACACUGAACAGUUCAACAAGUCUUAACCUUGGCCGAUAGGUCUGGGUAAUCUUUGAACGCUGUUCGUGAUUGGGAUAGACCUUUGCAAUUAUGGGUCUUCAACGAGUAAUUCCUAGUAAACGCAAGUCAUCAGCUUGCAUUGAUUACGUCCCUGCCCUUUGUACACACCGCCCGUCGCACCUACCGAUUGAAUGGUCCGGUGAAAUCUCGGGACGGCGGCUUGGUCGCUUGCGUCCGACUGCUGAAACUUGAUUAAACCAUAUCAUUUAGAGGAAGGUGAANUCGUAACA